GUGGAUUUAUGUUUUUUGAAAGUGUAUUUCUGAUCAUGCUAUCCUCCAUCACACGCCUCCAUCCAUCAACAACAGAACCACCACCCUAACCCUAAUCACGCACCACCACCCACACCGUCAAACCACCUCCACGAGUAACCUCAGGCCGCCCUAAACCCUAAUCUGCCACGUUUCUCGCGCAUAAACCAACAACCUCCACAGCCACUGCACAAUCUUCGUGUCGCCACCAAACAUCAUGCCAUCGGUGCCGCAACAACAAAGCUUCAACCUCCAACGUGAGAAGUGUCAUCCAUUUAGCCUCGUCCACAAUCUUCGUCAACCUAUAGAAGAACAAACCUAAAGAAAACCCAAAUCGCCACUGUGGCAAGCUACAAUCGCGAACCAGAAACUCAGAAACAAUGUCUUCUCGAUAUCGUACCUCCAUGAAGAAGAACCUUAAAUCGCGAUUUGCCCUGCACAAAUCAGAAACGGAGAAAUCCCCAAAUCAAAAACAGCAACCAUAUAAUCAUAAUCUCUAAUUUGCGGACCUUCGAACUGCCACCGCCUUUGACUUGACACCCAUUAGCGCCAUGGAUUUUCUUCUGCGGCAUAGGAGCAGAAUUCCCUUGCAUCCUCAAUUGGAAACCUCCACCUUCAUUCCCAUCGCGACUCGACCAAAGAAAACAUGAAUCAUCUUCACAACGAUGCAAGAAAGUCGCACUCUCAAUAGUGGCGCAGGAAGCCUUUCCCCAUUCCCUUCAAUCUGAAACCCUAAUUUUAGGUGGGGAAGGGGCUGACAUGUGGCAAUACCUCAUUGGUCAUGUCUAUCUGGUCAAACAGGGGCAAUAAGUGUAAAGAGUCUGCGUCAGCAAUUAAAUGACAUAUCAUUCACUUAUUGCACAGUUGAACAUUUGGU
rnacentral:lncRNA from 1 species